rnacentral:rRNA from 1 species
UACAGAGGGUGCGAGCGUUGUCCGGAAUCACUGGGCGUAAAGGGCGCGUAGGCGGUCUCUUAAGCAUGUGGUGAAAGCCCGGGGCUCAACUCCGGGUCGGCCGUGCGAACUGGGGGACUGGAGCUUGUCAGAGGCAGGCGGAAUUCCGGGUGUAGCGGUGGAAUGCGCAGAUAUCAGGAGGAACACCGGUGGCGAAGGCGGGUCUCUGGGCUGUAACUGACGCUGAGGAGCGAAAGCGUGGGUAGCGAACAGG